rnacentral:misc_RNA from 1 species
UGUUAAAUCCAAGGUAAACAUGUCCAAAACUUCCCCUUCCUAGUAGCUUUCCUUUCUUCCAUUUUGAAACUGGAACAGUUGUGUUUUCAGUCACAACAGGAGUUCUCGUGAUUGGCGGCAAGGAAGAAGGGCUGCUAGGAGAACCUGGUGGGAGAGGCAGUGGAUGACAUUGGCUCUUCCCAUCUUCCAGCCUUCCUGUUGGAGAGUCUAGAUUCAUACCUCCUAACAGUGGAUGAAGGGGCGAUGCAGACCUGCUGGGCCCUCUUGAUGCAGGACCAGGGCUUCUAGAUCCAGGACCAGGGCUUCUAGAACCAGGACCGGGGCUUCUAGACCCGGGACCUGGACUUCUUGAUCCCGCACCUGGGCUUCUUGACUCCAUAUUGAACCUUAUAUCACCUUGUCCUCUAUAACCACCAAAAAGACUAAUGUGAUGAUCAUUAGAAAUCGGGUGAUCCUCAGAGGAAGACCCAGAAGAGCUCACACUGGACAUGGA